AACGAACGCUGGCGGCAUGCCUAACACAUGCAAGUCGAACGAGACCUUCGGGUCUAGUGGCGCACGGGUGCGUAACGCGUGGGAAUCUGCCCUUAGGUUCGGAAUAACUCAGGGAAACUUGAGCUAAUACCGGAUGAUGACUUCGGUCCAAAGAUUUAUCGCCUAAGGAUGAGCCCGCGUAGGAUUAGCUAGUUGGUGAGGUAAAGGCUCACCAAGGCUACGAUCCUUAGCGGUCUGAGAGGAUGAUCAGCCACACUGGGACUGAGACACGGCCCAGACUCCUACGGGAGGCAGCAGUGGGGAAGUAUUGGACAAUGGGCGAAAGCCUGAUCCAGCAAUGCCGCGUGAGUGAUGAAGGCCUUAGGGUUGUAAAGCUCUUUUACCCGGG
rnacentral:rRNA from 1 species